GCCACGUACAGGAGCGGGCGCCACGGCAGCGUGGAGGACGGGGAAAAAAGAAUAACAGCUCUGGCGACCUUCUACUCUCCUUCUGUGUCGGUCGAGGGAACAAAGAGGAAGAGGGAGAGGAAGAGGGAGAAGAAGAGGGAGAGGAAGAGGGGGGAAGCGCUGCGUUUCAGAGGACGGCGCUGUGACAGCAGAGGAGGACGAGGUGAUGUGUGUGUGCAGCGCGCUGGUUUGUAACACACCAGCAACACUACGGGUGGGUGUGUUUUAAGGAACCCUCCCGCCCUCAUCUUACCAAGAAGCCUGACCCGAGGUUACGCAAGCCAUGCUGAGGACCCGGAGACAGUCCUGCUAAACACCAUGACUCAGGUAUCUGACAUCCCGCUUCUAAGCCUUUAUUUUGAAGUCCGCUCGCUGGAUUUCCGGUACCGCCGCGGCCUGAAUGCCGGCGCGUGACGCUUCUCGUCGCGGGCCUGUUUGCGUUGUAGUCGCGCUGAGAAGAGGACCAGUUAGUCCACCGACGGGACUCCGUCCACGAUGCUGCGAGCCGAGUAGUUCUCCACCGGCCCCUCUUUGUUCGGCUCCCGCACGUUACCCGACGCUGGAACCCGAUGAAUGGAGUUACUUUUUGCCUUGUUGGAAUCCCGCCUCCCGCAGAAACUGAAG
ensembl:lncRNA